CUUGGCAACGGCCACUGGUCACCUCCCAGAGCUGUGCUUCGACGUUAGUUUACACAGGGAGUAAACAGUUGCUGAAAAUGGAGACCGAGCCGCCCAAGUGCAACAAAAAGAUGUUAGUACUGCCUGCAAGGGGCGGAGGGAGUGCCGGGCUUGCAGCGUCCUCGCCUUGGGCUUUCUGGUAAUGCGGCUGCUUUGGAGUUGCCCCUGCUGCUUUUCUUCCUACUGUCCCACAAGGCUGGAGCCUGGUUUCAUUACGACUGUGUUCUCCUUUGUGAAUGACACUGAUCUGAAGUUAAACAAGAGCCCUGUCUUAUACUUAUGCAACUUUGGACAAAC